GUACCCAGUUCGGAUUGUAGGCUGCAACUCGCCUACAUGAAGUCGGAGUUGCUAGUAAUCGCGGAUCAGAAUGCCGCGGUGAAUGCGUUCCCGGGUCUUGUACACACCGCCCGUCACACCAUGGAAGUUGGGGCGCCCGAAGUUGCCUAAGAAAUAAGGUACCUAAGGCGAAACCAAUGACUGGGGUGAAGUCGUAACAAGGUAGC
rnacentral:rRNA from 1 species